UACAGAGGUCCCAAGCGUUGUUCGGAUUCACUGGGCGUAAAGGGUGCGCAGGUGGGCUGGUAAGUUCGAUGUGAAAGCCCCGGGCUUAACCCGGGAAUGGCAUUGGAUACUACUGGUCUGGAGGAUCGGAGGGGGGACUGGAAUUCUUGGUGUAGCAGUGAAAUGCGUAGAUAUCAAGAGGAACACCGGUGGCGAAGGCGGGUCUCUGGGCCGAUACUGACGCUGAGGAGCGAAAGCGUGGGGAGCGAACAGG
rnacentral:rRNA from 1 species